rnacentral:rRNA from 1 species
UACGUAGGGUGCGAGCGUUGUCCGGAAUUAUUGGGCGUAAAGGGCUCGUAGGCGGUUUGCUGCGUCGGGAGUGAAAACUCAGGGCUUAACCCUGAGCCUGCUUCCGAUACGGGCAGACUAGAGGUAUGCAGGGGAGAACGGAAUUCCUGGUGUAGCGGUGAAAUGCGCAGAUAUCAGGAGGAACACCGGUGGCGAAGGCGGGUCUCUGGGCCGAUACUGACGCUGAGGAGCGAAAGCGUGGGGAGCGAACAGG